GAUGAAGAACGCAGCGAAAUGCGAUAAGUAAUGUGAAUUGCAGAAUUCAGUGAAUCAUCGAAUCUUUGAACGCACAUUGCGCCCUCUGGUAUUCCGGGGGGCAUGCCUGUUCGAGCGUCAUUAUAACCACUCAAGCUCUCGCUUGGUAUUGGGGUUCGCGGUUCCGCGGCCCCUAAAAUCAGUGGCGGUGCCUGUCGGCUCUACGCGUAGUAAUACUCCUCGCGAUUGAGUCCGGUAGGUCUACUUGCCAGCAACCCCCAAUUUUUACAGGUUGACCUCGGAUCAGGUAGGAUUACCCGCUGAACUUAAGCAUAUCAAUAAGCGGAGGA
rnacentral:misc_RNA from 1 species